CUUUACUGUAGCCUGGAAUUGGGUCCGGGCUUUGACUGCGCAGGAUAGGUGGGAGACUAUGAGACAUCCCUUGUGGGGGAUGUGGAGUCAUCAGUGAGAUACCACUCUGUCAAGGCUAGAAUUCUAACUCAUUGCCGUGAUCCGGCAUGGGAACAGUUUCAGGUGGGCAGUUUGACUGGGGCGGUCGCCUCCUAAACGAUAACGGAGGCGCACAAAGGUUCCCUCAGGCUGGUUGGAAAUCAGCCGAAGAGUGUAAAGGCACAAGGGAGCUUGACUGUGAGACUGACAGGUCGAGCAGGGUGGAAACACGGUCUUAGUGAUCCGACGGCGCUGAGUGGAAGGGCCGUCGCUCAACGGAUAAAAGUUA
rnacentral:rRNA from 1 species